CCCUUAGAUGUUCUGGGCUGCACGCGCGCUACAAUGAUACACGCAGUGAGGAGGUACUUAACCGAGAGGUUUGGGUAAACUCGUAAUGUGUAUCGUGCUGGGGAUAGAUCAUUGUAAUUAUUGAUCUUGAACGAGGAAUGCCUAGUAAGCGCGAGUCAUCAGCUCGCGCUGAUUACGUCCCUGCCCUUUGUACACACCGCCCGUCGCUCCUGCCAAUGGGUGGGAUGGUAAGAGAGUGCACCUGGCCGCGAGGAAUCGUGCGCACAGGUUCCCUUGCGAACCAUCUCAUCUAAAGGAAGGAGAAGUCGUAACA
rnacentral:rRNA from 1 species